rnacentral:rRNA from 1 species
GAUCCUGGCUCAGGAUGAACGCUGGCGGCGUGCUUAACACAUGCAAGUCGGAACGAAGCACCUUGAUUUGAUUCUUCGGAUGAAGAUCCUGGUGGCUGAGUGGCGGACGGGUGAGUAACGCGUGGGUAACCUGCCUCAUACAGGGGGAUAACAGUUAGAAAUGACUGCUAAUACCGCAUAAGACCACAGCACCGCAUGGUGCAGGGGUAAAAACUCCGGUGGU